GGAUGAUUUAGGGAAAAGUAUUGUAGAAGACGAACAAGUUUUUUUCGUUGAUUCUGUGAGAAAAAGACUCUUACUCGUAGGCCUACCGCCCGGUACCACAGAGUACAGACCAUCAUUCAUGCAAUCGAUGCAUGGCGUGUGUGUCAUUGACACUGUCGAGUGUGUGCAGACUUAAGACUGCAGUCUAGGCGUUCAGGCUACAGGCUUCAUCAUGUCUGUGCCCUCCGUGCCACCCCUGGGGUUUUUAAUGCCACUCGUGCCCACACUCAAGUGUUUUGAAGAAUGUAAAAUCCAGUGUGUGAUAAACAUGUGUAAAGAAACCUUUCGUAAGAAGCCAGAAGAGCUUUACAACAAUCUUGGACUGGGAGAUGGAGGCCAUCAUAAACUUCUUGUAGGAUGAGUUGCCGCAGACAGAGAUGAAAACCAUGAUGAAUGUCCGUGAGCCAGAGGCUAUGAUUUGUUUAGUACAACAAUGCGAGGGACUUAACAAAAUUGAGGCGGAAAUAUUCUUGAGGCAGUGUCGGUGCAUGGAAGAAACGGAAACAUUGGAUUAAGGAUUUAUUUCAUAGUGAAUUACACAGUCACAAAUGGAUUACACACGUUCUGGAUUAGACUAGUUUCUGCUGCAACUGACAUUUUUGCAGGUGCCCACUCGUAGGCGAUUCCUUGAUGUCUUCCUUGGAUUUUACAUGAUAUUAUGUAAUUUUCGCCAACAUCGGGUUUUGGCGCCAAGACGUUUGUUCCUAGAACAGUUGAUUUAAAUGCCGAAUGUGGUCAGUUUUUAUUUAUAUCGCAGGUGUCUACCCAAACAUUUUUAGAUGCUUUCUGCUGAAUCUUCUAUUACUACUGUUUUUACUGGGGUUUCAUCGAUGUUUUUUGGUGGAGUGUGACUCUAAAGUAAUAGGCAGCUUGUUAUGCCCCAGCCAAUGCGUAAAGCAUUGCGGAGGCAUUAUGUUUUACCAAUGUCCGUCAGCCGGUAGGCGUCAGGCGUCUGUAAACUUUUCGUUUCCUCUCAUUUUAACAAGAACGCUUUGAGUAAUAACCAUGUAACUUUUUAUGUGGGUAGAAAAAGAUAACGUGUACAGCGGGCAUUACAGACCAAUAACUCUUUUACGAUGUCAACUAAACCUAGUCAGCUAUGACACCAGCUGCCCGGGGUUGUCUGAAAAACACUUCACUUUCCUAAUACACCAACUCAAAGUGCUCACCGGGGCAUAUGCUACGCCCUGCGUUGCUCUUGUUAUUGCAGUAGUUUUGUUCUUCCUCUGGUUCACCUAUAAACUAUUUUUCCAAUCUCCAAUCAUGUUUGAUGCUUUAGCCAUUUUGUUUCAGCUCUUAGAUAGUAGAAAAACGUGUUAUUCAUUAUUUCUGGUAGCACAAGUCCUGGCACGAAAUACCUUUCCCGUCAUAAUAUCAGUACCAAGACGUCACAGGGUAGGUCCUUACUCCAGGAAACGCCUUACUCGUGCACUGUUCCACGUGAAAAGGGUCACUGCUUGGAGAGCUAAAUGGGUCAACAUCAGAAAAGCGCGAUAAUUCAGUCUUUGGAAUUUUUCCUUUUUUUGUGCAAUUUGUUGAUGGAAACUACUUAUGUAGAACAGGAGGUGACUGGGCAGCAGACAGCUGGGUAAUAUUGCCCUUAACCCCUCGCCUCCCUAGAGGGGACGAUAUAUCGUCCCUGUAUUUUGUCUCGCGUAGGCGGUACGAUAUAUCGUCCCUAUACUAAUGCUUUAGUACAGAACUCUCGGUACACGUUAGACGCUAUUGUACAGUGUAUUCGUGUCCCUGGUGAUCUGCAGAAGACCAGAUUUAGUUUCAUUCAUAGUUUACAGAGGGCGCUGCAGUUUGAUUGGCGCUUGUGCAGCGUCACAGUACAAGAACUGAUUAGCAUAUAAAUUAAUAUUAUGUUGUAUUAUUCGAUCAAUCAGUAAUAGACAAUAGUCAAUCAAAGGUUAUCAAUCAAGUUACGUUGAUCAUUAACAGGUUGUAACUGCAUCAAUUACAGUUCCAUAUACUUUGUUCAAAUCAGAAAAAUCAAUCAAUUAGAGCAAAAUCAAUCAAAAAAUAUUGAUUAUUACUGAUUAUUGAUUACUUCUUACCUAAUUGAUACCCAGAAACAACGCCAAUUGAUAGCCAAGGUAAUCAGCUUUAUGAAAAUGUAUGGUUUUAUUAGUCGUACUUCCACCUAUCAAAUCCCCGUGUCUUUUGCGCUUACACCUAUGAAUUGUCGUGUCUAAAUAGACCCGUGUGUCAAAUCCCCGUGUCUAUUAGCCCCAUCGAGCUUGAUGCGGCCAAUCGGGGGCUAAUUCAGACCCGUGUUCAACACAGGUUUUUAGCUCACCUCUUAGCAGAGGUGAGCUUAUCCCAUACCGUGGCGUCCGUCGUCCGUCGUCGUCGUCGUCCGUCGUCCGUUAGCAGGGCACGUUUCGUAACUGUUAGAGCUAUUGAGUUGAAACUUGGUACACAUGUACC